UAAGUUCAAAAAAUUGUCAAG
rnacentral:piRNA from 1 species